rnacentral:rRNA from 1 species
UACGAAGGGGGCUAGCGUUGCUCGGAAUCACUGGGCGUAAAGCGCACGUAGGCGGGUCGUUAAGUCAGGGGUGAAAUCCUGGAGCUCAACUCCAGAACUGCCCUUGAUACUGGCGGUCUCGAGUCCGGGAGAGGUGAGUGGAACUGCGAGUGUAGAGGUGAAAUUCGUAGAUAUUCGCAAGAACACCAGUGGCGAAGGCGGCUCACUGGCCCGGUACUGACGCUGAGGUGCGAAAGCGUGGGGAGCAAACAGG